rnacentral:rRNA from 1 species
AUUGAACGCUGGCGGCAUGCCUUACACAUGCAAGUCGAACGGCAGCACGGGAGCUUGCUCCUGGUGGCGAGUGGCGAACGGGUGAGUAAUACAUCGGAACGUACCCUGAAGUGGGGGAUAACGUAGCGAAAGUUACGCUAAUACCGCAUACGCCCUGAGGGGGAAAGCGGGGGAUUCUUCGGAACCUCGCGCAAUUGGAGCGGCCGAUGUCAGAUUAGCUUGUUGGUGAGGUAAAGGCUCACCAAGGCGACGAUCUGUAGCGGGUCUGAGAGGAUGAUCCGCCACACUGGGACUGAGACACGGCCCAGACUCCUACGGGAGGCAGCAGUGGGGAAUUUUGGAUAAUGGGCGCAAGCCUGAUCCAGCCAUGCCGCGUGAGUGAAGAAGGCC